UACGUAGGGUGCAAGCGUUGUCCGGAAUUAUUGGGCGUAAAGAGCUCGUAGGCGGUCUGUCGCGUCUGCUGUGAAAACUCGGGGCUUAACCCCGGGCCUGCAGUGGGUACGGGCAGACUAGAGUGCGGUAGGGGAGACUGGAAUUCCUGGUGUAGCGGUGAAAUGCGCAGAUAUCAGGAGGAACACCGGAGGCGAAGGCGGCUUGCUGGGCGUGAUCUGACGCUGAGGCGCGAAAGCGUGGGGAGCGAACAGG
rnacentral:rRNA from 1 species